rnacentral:rRNA from 1 species
AAAUCGUACCCCAAACCGACACAGGUGGUCAGGUAGAGAAUACCAAGGCGCUUGAGAGAACUCGGGUGAAGGAACUAGGCAAAAUGGUGCCGUAACUUCGGGAGAAGGCACGCUGAUAUGUAGGUGAAGCGACUUGCUCGUGGAGCUGAAAUCAGUCGAAGAUACCAGCUGGCUGCAACUGUUUAUUAAAAACACAGCACUGUGCAAACACGAAAGUGGACGUAUACGGUGUGACGCCUGCCCGGUGCCGGAAGGUUAAUUGAUGGGGUUAGCGGUAACGCGAAGCUCUUGAUCGAAGCCCCGGUAAACGGCGGCCGUAACUAUAACGGUCCUAAGGUAGCGAAAUUCCUUGUCGGGUAAGUUCCGACCUGCACGAAUGGCGUAAUGAUGGCCAGGCUGUCUCCACCCGAGACUCAGUGAAAUUGAACUCGCUGUGAAGAUGCAGUGUACCCGCGGCAAGACGGAAAGACCCCGUGAACCUUUACUAUAGCUUGACACUGAACAUUGAGCCUUGAUGUGUAGGAUAGGUGGGAGGCUUUGAAGUGUGGACGCCAGUCUGCAUGGAGCCGACCUUGAAAUACCACCCUUUAAUGUUUGAUGUUCUAACGUGGGCCCCUUACCGGGGUUGCGGACAGUGUCUGGUGGGUAGUUUGACUGGGGCGGUCUCCUCCUAAAGAGUAACGGAGGAGCACGAAGGUUGGCUAAUCCUGGUCGGACAUCAGGAGGUUAGUGCAAUGGCAUAAGCCAGCUUGACUGCGAGCGUGACGGCGCGAGCAGGUGCGAAAGCAGGUCAUAGUGAUCCGGUGGUUCUGAAUGGAAGGGCCAUCGCUCAACGGAUAAAAGGUACUCCGGGGAUAACAGGCUGAUACCGCCCAAGAGUUCAUAUCGACGGCGGUGUUUGGCACCUCGAUGUCGGCUCAUCACAUCCUGGGGCUGAAGUAGGUCCCAAGGGUAUGGCUGUUCGCCAUUUAAAGUGGUACGCGAGCUGGGUUUAGAACGUCGUGAGACAGUUCGGUCCCUAUCUGCCGUGGGCGCUGGAGAACUGAGGGGGGCUGCUCCUAGUACGAGAGGACCGGAGUGGACGCAUCACUGGUGUUCGGGUUGUCAUGCCAAUGGCACUGCCCGGUAGCUAAAUGCGGAAGAGAUAAGUGCUGAAAGCAUCUAAGCACGAAACUUGCCCCGAGAUGAGUUCUCCCUGAGACUUAGAGUCUCCUGAAGGAACGUUGAAGACGACGACGUUGAUAGGCCGGGUGUGUAAGCGCAGCGAUGCGUUGAGCUAACCGGUACUAAUGAACCGUGAGGCUUAACCUUACAACGCCGAAG